AGCGAACGCUGGCGGCAGGCCUAACACAUGCAAGUCGAACGGACCCUUCGGGGUUAGUGGCGGACGGGUGAGUAACACGUGGGAGCGUGCCUUUAGGUUCGGAAUAGCUCCUGGAAACGGGUGGUAAUGCCGAAUGUGCCCUUCGGGGGAAAGAUUUAUCGCCUUUAGAGCGGCCCGCGUCUGAUUAGCUAGUUGGUGAGGUAAUGGCUCACCAAGGCGACGAUCAGUAGCUGGUCUGAGAGGAUGACCAGCCACAUUGGGGCUGAGACACGGCCCAAACUCCUACGGGAGGCGGCAGUGGGGAAUCUUGCGCAAUGGGCGAAAGCCUGACGCGGCCAUGCCGCGUGGAUGAUGAAGGUCUUAGGAUUGUAAAAUCCUUUCACCGGUGAAGAUAAUGACUGUAGCCGGAGAAGAAGCCCCGGCUAACUUCGUGCCAGCCGCCGCUGUAAGAC
rnacentral:rRNA from 1 species